rnacentral:rRNA from 1 species
GAUCAUGGCUCAGGAUGAACGCUGGCGGCGUGCUUAACACAUGCAAGUCGAACGAAGCAAUCUAACGGAAGUUUUCGGAUGGAAGUUAGAUUGACUGAGUGGCGGACGGGUGAGUAACGCGUGAGGAACCUGCCUUGAAGAGGGGGACAACAGUUGGAAACGACUGCUAAUACCGCAUGACGCAUAGGGGUCGCAUGAUCUUUAUGCCAAAGAUUUAUCG